AGUACGAGAGGACCGGGACGGACGAACCUCUGGUGUGCCAGUUGUCCUGCCAAGGGCAUGGCUGGUUGGCUACGUUCGGAAAGGAUAACCGCUGAAAGCAUCUAAGCGGGAAGCCUGCUUCGAGAUGAGUAUUCCCACCCUCUUGAAGGGUUAAGGCUCCCAGUAGACGACUGGGUUGAUAGGCCAGAUGUGGAAGCCCUGUAAGGGGUGGAGCUGACUGGUACUAAUAGGCCGAGGGCUUGUCCUCAGUUG
rnacentral:rRNA from 1 species